rnacentral:lncRNA from 1 species
UUCAAUCAGAAAACCAACUUUAGAAAAAUUGGUUUUGUCCACCGCCUAAGCCGUAAGUGUCGGCAAUCAUCUCAUUUUCGUUUCUUUCCUUUUUCUUUGGUAGGUGAGGUAUGGACCCCACGUCCCAAACAUAUCUAUGUAGACUUCCUUAUGUAUAUAAGUAUCCCUACACAUAAACCCAAAUCAUUAUUAGAUUCUGAGACUGUGUGUUUAUUGUGGUAAUUUACAGAAAGUGGAGAAAUUCCCCAAGAAAAGAAAAAAGAAAAGCUUGAAGCUUUAUUGGAUUCUUUGGUUGAUCACAAAAAUAAUGGAGCUUUGAUUGGAGAUAAAAAGUAUGAGAACUGUUGUGGCUAGAUUGUCUUGUUUUCAAUGCCCUUUCCUUUAUUCACCUAAUGGUGAAAUGUGUGAUUCCUUCUCCCAGUUUCAAUUUCUCCUUUUCUUUGCUUAUUAAUUAUUUUUUUGAAUAUGAUGAGUCCGUCAUUCUCUUAGGUUAUUUCUGGUUGAUUCUGAUAUUGCAAAUAGGCUGAUCAAGAUACAUAAUUCAUUCUGAUUGAACAAAGACAAAGUGGUAUACUGUAUAUAGAGGUGUUUUUGUUUCCCCCUAUUUUCUAUGUGACUUAGUAAAAGGAAAAACAAGAACCAUUUUUUAGUUGAUGGUCAUGGCAUGAAGGAUAGAAUUUAAGUUUGUAAAUGGAUGUAGAUAAUAUGGGAAUUUUACCACUGCUUUAAUUUCUUCACUUUUUGGUUUAAAGGAUGGUGACCAAACUAAAUGAUGUCUCUUUAUUGGGACUAAGGGAUUAUAAUUGCAAUAAUUUAUUUCUUUUUAAAAAAAGCUCAUGGUUUUGUGUUUACUAUAGUGGGGUGUUGGGAUGCAACAGAAACUGUGUUAGUUGACUGCAAUUUAUGGUAAUAACAGAAAACAAAUUCAGUUGAUCUGCCCCUACUGAAAGAAAGAUAAAAAAGCAAGGGAAAGAAAGGAAAGGAAUACUUCGCCUGCAAGGUAGUAACUUUAUUGCAGGGAGACAUUAAUAUGAUUGAUUUUCUUGAUCUGAAUCCUCUUAUCCUUAUGUUUUUGUUCUCAUGGUCCUUGUAGUUCUAGCUAUUUCCUUGUCAAAUGAGCUUAGUUCGUUGUUGUUGGUGUUGGUGUUGUGGAGGCGCAUAAUAAGGUAUAUCUAGAGCUAUUUAUUGUUGAUAGCAGAAGUAUUUCACUUCUCUUUGCCGUUGCAAUCAGUCCAGUGGGAAAAGUUUUGGAAUUUCGCAUGUUACACAUGCAGGUUCUGAUAAGCCCACCACUGGAGUCAUAGACAGAAGAAAAAUAAGUAUUUACGUAACAUUUGUUGAUGCUGCAAAGAUUUCUUGAAGCAUAAGACUCCCUGAUGUCAUUAGCCAAUAAACAGAUUCAAGGCAAAUGUUGUAAGCAGUUGGCUUGAGUUGUGUUUAAACAUAUGAAAGUGGUUUUUGCCGUGUUAGGUGAAUUUAUUAUUUAUGUGAAUCUAAGUUUUUAACAGGCUGGUUUGUAUUUGACUAACCUUCAAAUAAGAAGUAUGCCAAAUUACCCAUGAAGUAAGGCACAAUUAUCAAAUUACCCUUCGUUAUGCAAUCAAAAGCAACUCUUCUUUCUUAUAUACUCUUCUGCUUCUACUUCUCUCAAUUUUUCUCUUUUU